rnacentral:tRNA from 1 species
AUUUCUAAACUAAUGUAGUUUAAGAAAAACACUACAUUUUCAUUGUAUAAAUAAUUUAAUUCAUAA